rnacentral:rRNA from 1 species
GAUGAACGCUGGCGGCGUGCCUAAUACAUGCAAGUCGAGCGAACAGACGAGGAGCUUGCUCCUCUGACGUUAGCGGCGGACGGGUGAGUAACACGUGGAUAACCUACCUAUAAGACUGGGAUAACUUCGGGAAACCGGAGCUAAUACCGGAUAAUAUAUUGAACCGCAUGGUUCAAUAGUGAAAGACGGUUUUGCUGUCACUUAUAGAUGGAUCCGCGCCGCAUUAGCUAGUUGGUAAGGUAACGGCUUACCAAGGUAACGAUGCGUAGCCGACCUGAGAGGGUGAUCGGCCACACUGGAACUGAGACACGGUCCAGAAUCCUACGGGAGGCAGCAGUAGGGAAUCUUCCGCAAUGGGCGAAAGCCUGACGGAGCAACGCCGCGUGAGUGAUGAAGGUCUGCGGAUCGUAAAACUCUGUUAUUAGGGAAGAACAAAUGUGUAAGUAACUAUGCACGUCUUGACGGUACCGAAUCAGAAAGCCACGGCUAACUACGU